CCUACGGGUGGCAGCAGUGAGGAAUAUUGGUCAAUGGGCGCGAGCCUGAACCAGCCAAGUCGCGUGAGGGAAGACGGUCCUAUGGAUUGUAAACCUCUUUUGUCGGGGAGCAAAAGACGCCACGCGUGGCGUUCCGAGAGUACCCGACGAACAAGCAUCGGCUAACUCCGUGCCAGCAGCCGCGGUAAUACGGAGGAUGCGAGCGUUAUCCGGGUUUAUUGGGUUUAAAGGGUUCGCAGGCGGAAGAUCAAGUCAGCGGUAAAAUUUAGAGGCUCAACCUCUUCGAGCCGUUGAAACUGGUGGGCUGGAGUGAGCGAGAAGUAGGCGGAAUGCGUGGUGUAGCGGUGAAAUGCAUAGAUAUCACGCAGAACUCCGAUUGCGAAGGCAGCAUACCGGCGCUCAACUGACGCUCAUGCACGAAAGUGUGGGUAUCGAACAGGAUUAGAUACCCGGGUAGUC
rnacentral:rRNA from 1 species